AAUCACUAGGGCCCCCAUCUCCUCAUAGCAUUAUGUCCGCAGGUUCAGGCCGCACGUGGGAACACCGGCUCAGGAAACCUCCGGGACGACCGGAGGAUGCGCACAUGUGAGAGGAAGCACGGCCGCGGGCGCUUAAAUGCGUGCCCGUCGCCCACUAGCGGUCGGGAGGCCACACAUCGCUUCUCUGCCCAGGGAAUUUAAAAGGGAGCCCCUCCCUUCGGGGCGAGCGACCGCUCCCACCGGGACUGCUUCCGGUGGGAGGCGGCAGGACUUGAGUCCCCAGACACACGGUUGGUGUCAACCCUGGAACUCCGAGGGAGUCACCCAGGAAUCUCUGCAAAGUUCCGUGCCGGGCCCUACCCCAGACUUUCUGAUUUAAUUCUUGUGGAGUGAGGCCCAGCAUUGGAUAAGACUUCACACGUGAUUCCAAAGUGUCAGUGAAGAGUUGAAAACCAAAGUCAGCAGAAGGGAGCAGUUUGGAAAAGGACACAUAUUCUGAAGCUCUGGUGAAUAUGUGAAUGAAAGUGAUAAAAAAACAAUUUGAGAUUACAGUAAGACUCAUGUUCUUCAAUAAUUUAAUUUUUAAAAAACUUUUACCAUUGGGCACUCCUUCUUUUGAACACAAUUCAACAGCAUUCUGCGUUCUCCAAAGGAUUUCAGUAGCUAAACCCAGAGGACAGUCGGCUCAAAGGGCCCAGGACAGCCCUCAGAGGUUUCAUCAAUCAAAUCUCAAACACUAGUGAGGAGCACCACAGAUUUAUGGAGGAAUGACUUAUUCUGGCAGAGGUUCUGGUGUUCAGGCAAAGAGAACCUCUCCAGGGCCUGGAUUCCAGAUUAGGAACCAGAGAAUCUGUAGGAGUCCAAACGAGCAGCCAUGGUGUAACAUAAUGAUUACUAACAGGCUUGGCAUCAGACAAACCUGCAUCUGAAUCUGGGUUCUAUCACUUCCUGACUGCA